GCGGCACGCCUAACACAUGCAAGUCGAACGAAGUAGCAAUACUUAGUGGCAGACGGGUGAGUAACAUGUGGGUAUCUGCCCUUUGGCCUGGAAUAACACGAGGAAACUUGUGCUAAUACUGGAUAAGUCUUUACGGAGAAAGCUUUAUGCACCAUUGGAUGAGCCCGCACUUGAUUAGUUUGUUGGUAGGGUAAUGGCCUACCAAGACUGUGAUCAAUAGCUGAUUUGAGAGGAUGAUCAGCCACAUUGGGACUGAGACACGGCCCAAACUCCUACGGGAGGCAGCAGUGGGGAAUCUUGCACAAUGGAGGAAACUCUGAUGCAGCGAUGCCGCGUGAGUGAAGAAGGCCUUUGGGUUGUAAAGCUCUUUCGUCGGGGAAGAAAAUGACUGUACCCGAAUAAGAAGGUCCGGCUAACUUCGUGCCAGCAGCCGCGGUAAUACGAAGGGACCUAGCGUAGUUCGGAAUUACUGGGCUUAAAGAGUUCGUAGGUGGUUGAAAAAGUUGGUGGUGAAAUCCCAGAGCUUAACUCUGGAACUGCCAUCAAAACUUUUCAGCUAGAGUUUGAUAGAGGAAAGCAGAAUUUCUAGUGUAGAGGUGAAAUUCGUAGAUAUUAGAAAGAAUACCAAUUGCGAAGGCAGCUUUCUGGAUCAUUACUGACACUGAGGAACGAAAGCAUGGGUAGCGAAGAGGAUUAGAUACCCUCGUAGUCCAUGCCGUAAACGAUGUGUGUUAGACGUUGGAAAUUUAUUUUCAGUGUCGCAGCGAAAGCGAUAAACACACCGCCUGGGGAGUACGACCG
rnacentral:rRNA from 1 species